CCUACGGGAGGCAGCAGUGGGGAAUAUUGCGCAAUGGGCGAAAGCCUGACGCAGCGACGCCGCGUGAGGGAUGAAGGUCUUCGGAUCGUAAACCUCUGUCAGCAGGGAAGAACGGUCACUGUGCUAAUCAGCAGUGAAUUGACGGUACCUGCAAAGGAAGCACCGGCUAACUCCGUUUCAGCAGCCGCGGUAAUACGGAGGGUGCGAGCGUUAAUCGGAAUUACUGGGCGUAAAGCGCUCGUAGGCGGUAUGUCAAGUCAAGGGUGAAUGCCCCGCGCUCAACGGUGGAAAUGCCUUUGAAACGGGCAAACUGGAGUGUGUGAGAGGAUAGUGGAAUUCCAGGUGUAGGAGUGAAAUCCGUAGAUAUCUGGAGGAACAUCAGUGGCGAAGGCGACUAUCUGGCACAUAACUGACGCUGAGGAGCGAAAGCGUGGGUAGCAAACAGGAUUAGAUACCCUAGUAGUC
rnacentral:rRNA from 1 species